rnacentral:rRNA from 1 species
UACGGAGGGUCCAAGCGUUAUUCGGAAUCACUGGGCUUAAAGGGUGCGUAGGCGGCACUGUAAGUUGGGUGUGAAAUCCCUCGGCUUAACCGAGGAACUGCGCCCAAAACUACAGUGCUUGAGGGAGAUAGAGGUGAGCGGAACUUAGGGUGGAGCGGUGAAAUGCGUUGAUAUCCUAAGGAACGCCAGGGGCGAAAGCGGCUCACUGGGUCUCUUCUGACGCUGAGGCACGAAAGCUAGGGUAGCGAACGGG